CGGAAGAGGAUGGGCAUGCGGCGCAUUAGCUAGACGGCGGGGUAACGGCCCACCGUGGCGACGAUGCGUAGGGGUUCUGAGAGGAAGGUCCCCCACACUGGUACUGAGACACGGACCAGACUCCUACGGGAGGCAGCAGUGAGGAAUAUUGGUCAAUGGGAGAGAUCCUGAACCAGCCAAGCCGCGUGAGGGAAGACGGCCCUAUGGGUUGUAAACCUCUUUUGUCGGAGAACAAAACCCGGGACGAGUCCCGGACUGCGUGUAUCCGAAGAAAAAGCAUCGGCUAACUCCGUGCCAGCAGCCGCGGUAAUACGGAGGAUGCGAGCGUUAUCCGGAUUUAUUGGGUUUAAAGGGUGCGUAGGCGGUCCGUUAAGUCAGCGGUAAAAUUGCGGGGCUCAACCCCGUCGAGCCGUUGAAACUGGCAGACUUGAGUUGGCGAGAAGUACGCGGAAUGCGCGGUGUAGCGGUGAAAUGCAUAGAUAUC
rnacentral:rRNA from 1 species